AACCAUUCUCACCUGCGGCUAGACCUGCGGAAGGAUCAUUAAAAAACUUUGCCCGCGGACCUUGGGUCCAAGGCGCAAAACCCACACUAUGUGCACUGUUAUCGUUCUUUUGGCAGGGGCUUGGGGUGUCUUCCAACUUGGGGAACCUCAACUUCUCGUCUAGCUCUAUCCACCUCGGACAGCUGGACAUGAGAAGCAGUUACUCUGCCAAGUGACCCUUAAAAACACGCUUUUUGUCUG
rnacentral:misc_RNA from 1 species